CUGCACCUAAGAUUUGCCUAACGACUCUCAACCUAAAACAUGCUACUAUCGAGAUCAACAUAAUUAACAUUCAUUUUGAUUUAAACAACCAACAACAAAUCGACAUAAACCCACAUUCAUGUUUAUUAAUUCUUCGAUUCCCGCCCCAAUUUUACUCUUAACCAAGGAUAAUCAACAUUAAUAUGAAAUUAACCAAUCAAAAUCACCACCGUGACAGUCAAAAUUGCUCAAAAAUGUACAAUCAAAACAUAUCAAUAAUUCACACCAUCACUCACAUAAGAUUGACAAAAUUAUAAAGAAAGAGAUGAAAAUUGGACCUCAAAUGUUGCCUCAAUCAACCAAAUUCCUUUAGCAGUCUCACAAGUUCAUAGAAAGAGCAUCGACCGGAACUACGCCAAUCUCAAAACAACAACGACCUCAACUCGAACCCAAAACUGAAUCGAAUUUGACCAAAAAAUGGAAUCUAGAACGAGAUUUUUGUAUCCGUUUAAGCUACGAAUGGAAUUCCGAUGAGAUUUGAACUAGAAAAUAAAGGGGAGAAUGGCCUUCCAACGUGAGUUCGAUCGGAGUGAAGCUGGUGACGCUAUUUUCUAUGGGUUUUGCUGGAUUCCUCUCUCUCCCCGAUUUGCUGGAUGCUUCGAUCUCAACCUCCUCUCUCUGUUUGUUUUUCUCUCUUCUUACCUCUCUCGAUCUCUCUCAGUCGAUUGUCUAUGAGUGAUGUCGUGUGUGUAGAGCUGUCCGUACCUGGUUUUAAUAGAGUAUAUCCGUGAGUGUGUCGUGGUGUACGUUCUUUAGAAAAAUAGCAUGGCUCAUUGGUGAGGAGUGUGUGUUCCAGCCCCCCUAGUGAAUGAGGGUCCAUCCUUCUUAUCCAUUUUUUGGAAAGAAAAAAAAGAAAACCUAUUCGUGGGUCCCUCUCUUUU
rnacentral:lncRNA from 1 species